GAUGAACGCUGGCGGCGUGCCUAAUACAUGCAAGUCGAGCGAACGGACGAGAAGCUUGCUUCUCUGAUGUUAGCGGCGGACGGGUGAGUAACACGUGGAUAACCUACCUAUAAGACUGGGAUAACUUCGGGAAACCGGAGCUAAUACCGGAUAAUAUUUUGAACCGCAUGGUUCAAAAGUGAAAGACGGUCUUGCUGUCACUUAUAGAUGGAUCCGCGCUGCAUUAGCUAGUUGGUAAGGUAACGGCUUACCAAGGCAACGAUGCAUAGCCGACCUGAGAGAGUGAGCGGCCACACUGGAAAUGAGACACGGUCCAGACUCCUACGGGAGGCAGCAGUAGGGAAUCUUCCGCAAUGGGCGAAAGCCUGACGGAGCACCGCCGCGUGAGUGAUGAAGGUCUUCGGAUCGUAAAACUCUGUUAUUAGGGAAGAACAUAUGUGUAAGUAACUGUGCACAUCUUGACGGUACCUAAUCAGAAGGCCACGGCUAACUCCGUG
rnacentral:rRNA from 1 species